AUUGAACGCUGGCGGCAGGCCUAACACAUGCAAGUCGAGCGGAUGAAGGGAGCUUGCUCCUGGAUUCAGCGGCGGACGGGUGAGUAAUGCAGGAAUCUGCCUGGUAGUGGGGGAUAACGUCCGGAAACGGGCGCUAAUACCGCAUACGUCCUGAGGGAGAAAGUGGGGGAUCUUCGGACCUCACGCUAUCAGAUGAGCCUAGGUCGGAUUAGCUAGUUGGUGGGGUAAAGGCCUACCAAGGCGACGAUCCGUAACUGGUCUGAGAGGAUGAUCAGUCACACUGGAACUGAGACACGGUCCAGACUCCUACGGGAGGCAGCAGUGGGGAAUAUUGGACAAUGGGCGAAAGCCUGAUCCAGCCAUGCCGCGUGUGUGAAGAAGGUCUUCGGAUUGUAAAGCACUUUAAGUUGGGAGGAAGGGCAGUAAGUUAAUACCUUGCUGUUUUGACGUUACCAACAGAAUAAGCACCGGCUAACUUCGUG
rnacentral:rRNA from 1 species